rnacentral:rRNA from 1 species
AUUAAACGCUGGCGGCAUGCCUUACACAUGCAAGUCGAACGGCAGCACGGGGGCAACCCUGGUGGCGAGUGGCGGACGGGUGAGUAAAGCAUCGGAACGUAUCCUGGAGUGGGGGAUAACGUAGCGAAAGUUACGCUAAUACCGCAUAUUCUGUGAGCAGGAAAGCAGGGGAUCGCAAGACCUUGCGCUCUGGGAGCGGCCGAUGUCGGAUUAGCUAGUUGGUGGGGUAAAGGCCUACCAAGGCGACGAUCCGUAGCGGGUCUGAGAGGAUGAUCCGCCACACUGGGACUGAGACACGGCCCAGACUCCUACGGGAGGCAGCAGUGGGGAAUUUUGGACAAUGGGCGAAAGCCUGAUCCAGCCAUGCCGCGUGAGUG